rnacentral:rRNA from 1 species
AUUGAACGCUGGCGGCAUGCCUAACACAUGCAAGUCGAACGGUAACAGGGGUCUCCUUGCGGAGGCGCUUACGGGUGGCGGGCGGGAUGGUAAUGUCUGUGACACGGCCUGGGGGAUGGGGAUGACUACUGGAAACUGUAGCUACUACCGCAUAACGUCUCAAGACGGGAGAGGGAGACCUUCGGCGCUCUUGCCAUGGCCGGUGUCGAGAUGGGAUUAGCUAGUAGGUGGGGUAACGGCUCACCUAGGCGACGAUCCCUAGCUGGUCUGAGAGGAUGACCAGCCACACUGGAACUGAGACACGGCCCAGACUCCUACGGGAGGCAGCAGUGGGGAAUAUUGCACAAUGGGCGCAAGCCUGAUGCGGCCAUGCCGCGUGUAUGAAGAAGGCCUUCGGGUUGUAAAGCACUUUCAGCGGGGAGGAAGGCAGUAAAGUUAAUACCCCUGCUCAUUGACGUUACCCGAAGAAGAAGCACCGGCUAACUCCGUG